rnacentral:misc_RNA from 1 species
CACACCUCCUUUGGGAUUUUUCUCACUGGGUCUUGGGACGCGGUUUCGCUUCGGCGGACCCCUCCCUAAUGUGGCACGCUUGCGGGCCCCCGGCCAGAUGUCAACGUAGUAAAUUUCAAACUCGUUCCCAGCUGUCGAAGGGCCUCGCCUGAUUCAAACUCUCAUG